rnacentral:rRNA from 1 species
GACGAACGCUGGCGGCGUGCUUAACACAUGCAAGUCGAACGGAAAGGCCCUGCUUGCAGGGUACUCGAGUGGCGAACGGGUGAGUAACACGUGGGUGAUCUGCCCUGCACUUCGGGAUAAGCCUGGGAAACUGGGUCUAAUACCGGAUAGGAACCAUUUUUAGUGUGAUGGUUGGAAAGUUUUUUCGGUGUAGGAUGAGCUCGCGGCCUAUCAGCUUGUUGGUGGGGUAAUGGCCUACCAAGGCGGCGACGGGUAGCCGGCCUGAGAGGGUGGACGGCCACAUUGGGACUGAGAUACGGCCCAGACUCCUACGGGAGGCAGCAGUGGGGAAUAUUGCACAAUGGGCGCAAGCCUGAUGCAGCGACGCCGCGUGGGGGAUGACGGCCUUCGGGUUGUAAACUCCUUUCGCUAGGGACGAAGCUUUUUGUGACGGUACCUAGAUAAGAAGCACCGGCUAACUACGUG